GCCGAGCGUGGUGGGGCAUGCACGUAAGCCCUGCUCUUAGAGCAGCUGGAAUUGCUUGAGACCAGGGGUUCUAGGCUACUGUGCGCUAUGCUGAUCCAGUGUCCGCACUAAGAUCAGCAUCAACAUGGUGAUUCCUGGGCAGUUUGUAGCCUCCAAGUUGCCGAAGGAGGGAUUAACCGGCCCAAGCUGGAAACAGAGCAGAUGAAAGCUUUCGUGCUGAUCAGGAGUGGGAUUGCACCUGUGGAAAGCUGCUGUAGUGUAGCCUGGACAAGACAGUGAGACGU
rnacentral:SRP_RNA from 1 species